GGCCUUACCUGGCAGGGGAGAUACCAUGAUCACGAAGGUGGUUUUCCCAGGGCGAGGCUUAUCCAUUGCACUCCGGAUGUGCUGACCCCUGCGAUUUCCCCAAAUGUGGGAAACUUGACUGCAUAAUUUGUGGUAGUGGGGGACUGUGUUCACCCUUUUCCCUG
ensembl:snRNA U1 U1 spliceosomal RNA